rnacentral:rRNA from 1 species
AGGACUAACGCUGGCGGCGUGCCUAACACAUGCAAGUCGAACGAGAGUAGCAAUACUCUAGUGGCAGACGGGUGAGUAACACGUGGUCAACCUACCUCUAUGUGGGGGAUAACUAGCCGAAAGGUUAGCUAAUACCGCAUACGAUCGUCGAGCGGCAUCGCUUGACGAUGAAAGGAGCAAUCCGCAGAGAGACGGGACCGCGUCCCAUUAGCUAGUUGGUGGGGUAAUGGCCUACCAAGGCGACGAUGGGUAGCUGGCUUGAGAGAGCGACCAGCCACACUGGGACUGAGACACGGCCCAGACUCCUACGGGAGGCAGCAGUGAGGAAUUUUCCGCAAUGGGCGAAAGCCUGACGGAGCGACGCCGCGUGUGGGAAGAAGGCCUUCGGGUCGUAAACCACUGUCGAAGGGGAAGAUAUUGACGGUACCCUUGGAGGAAGCCCCGGCUAACUACGUCGCCAGCAGCCGCGGUAA